rnacentral:rRNA from 1 species
GGGACCAAGCAGCUCCUGCAUGCAUAGUGCAAGGCGAGCGCUCAGAUUUGAAGGCACUUUUGUGCCGUUGUAUUCUGAAGUUAGGGUCCUGAGAAACGAUGCUUAAGUCUUCUGGAAAGGAGCGCCAUGGAGGGUGAUAGCCCCGUCUAGCAUUGACCUCAUAUAGGAUCUUAACAUGGAGUCGAGUUGUUUGGGAAUGCAGCUCAAAUGGGUGGUAUGCUCCAUCUAAAGCUAAAUAUCUGCGAGAGACCGAUAGUAAACAAGUACUGUGAGGGAAAGAUGAAAAGAACUUUGAAAAGAGAGUGAAAAAGUACGUGAAAUUGUUGAAAUGGAAGGGUAGGCCGCUAACCAUGUAGAGCCGUGUUUGGGGGGAAGAUAAAUGCUGUAGAAUGUAGCUCCUCGGAGUAUUAUAGAUGCAGUUCAUAUUCCCACCCGAGCGCGAGGAUCUCAGGUUCUACUAAAUGGUGGUCUACCACCCGUCUUGAAACACGGACCCAUGAUAUGCACAUUAACAGAACCUGAGAUCCUCCGCUCGGGUGGGAAUAUGAACUGCUCUAUAUACUCCGAGGAGCUACUUCUACAGCAUUAUCUUCCCCAGCCCUCCUGGGUUAGGGGCCACCCUCCUUUUCAACAAUU